rnacentral:rRNA from 1 species
UACAGAGGUCUCAAGCGUUGUUCGGAUUCAUUGGGCGUAAAGGGUGCGUAGGUGGCGCCGUAAGUCAGGUGUGAAAUUUCGGAGCUUAACUCCGAAACUGCAUUUGAUACUGCGGUGCUUGAGGACUGGAGAGGAGACUGGAAUUUACGGUGUAGCAGUGAAUGCGUAGAGAUCGUAAGGAAGACCAGUGGCGAAGGCGGGUCUCUGGACAGUUCCUGACACUGAGGCACGAAGGCCAGGGGAGCAAACGGG